rnacentral:lncRNA from 1 species
GAGUCUAAAUUAAGACACUUAAACAGAAUUAAUUUACUUUUCAGGAGUGCUGAGCACUUACAGUAUAACAACAUUACGAGAAAUGAGUGUUCAGUACUGGUGUAAUGAAGACCAGUAAAUUGGGAAAAGGUGUUUGAACAGCCUGCCCUUCAGCAUCCAGAAGUAAAACUGAAACCAAGGACUCCCUCCUGUGAAGGAAGCUUCUUGCAGGUGUCACAAGACAGAUGAAAGAGAUGGUGUGACAGAUAGCCAGAAUAAACUACUUAUGGCACUGCAUCAGGAGAAAACAACCACAAUAGCAGUCUUCCAAAUGUCCAAGAGGUUUGCAAGGCUACAUUAAUGACUCACCAGUUAUUAAUACCAUAUUUAGUGAAGAUGACCAGAAAGCUAGUGGAGGAAUACAGACUUCUUUGUUUGAAGAAAGAAACCUUAAGAAGAUGUAGUUCCAUGCAUCUCAUGAAUAAACAAUUCGAAAAGUUAUUGAAGCAUCUGAAGUGGCCAUCACAUUCUGGACAGACUUUAGGUCCAGGUGAUCACUGGAGAAUAGAUACUUCUACCUGUCUUCUCUCCAGCAGCAUAGCGGCCCAAAUGGAGAAGAUUCAUCCUGCCUUCCCUCCAACAUCCACAUUGUUUGAGCGAUACUGGAUGGAAUUCAGUACAGUCACUUUGGAUCUCAGACAUGAAAGAUCCCUGGGAUUCACUGGCAUAUGGAUGGAAAGCUAA